rnacentral:ncRNA from 1 species
UUAAAUUUUGAAGCGCCUGAACUGCCAUGGACGUUAAAGUGGCAGUUGACGAGGAGGGGGACAUUCGAGUCAUUCGGCGGGUACCCCCCGGCUUGACCGGAAGUCGAAGUUCGCGGACAAACCGGUAAGGCGACUUACCGAACAAAACCGCCAACAUCCGGCAAC